AGCAUAUCAAUAAGCGCAGGAAAAGAAACCAACAGGGAUUACCUCAGUAACGGCGAGUGAAGCGGUAAUAGCUCAAAUUUGAAAUCUGGCCUCUUGGGGUCCGAGUUGUAAUUUGUAGAGGAUGUUUUGGGUACCGCCCCGGUUUAAAUUUCUUGGAACAGAAUGUCAAAGAGGGUGAGAAUCCCGUCUUGGACCGGUGGUAGGGCCUGUGUAAAACUCCUUCGACGAGUCGAGUUGUUUGGGAAUGCAGCUCAAAAUGGGUGGUAAAUUUCAUCUAAAGCUAAAUAUUGGCCAGAGACCGAUAGCGCACAAGUAGAGUGAUCGAAAGAUGAAAAGCACUUUGAAAAGAGAGUUAAACAGUAUGUGAAAUUGUUGAAAGGGAAGCGCUUGCAAUCAGACUUGAGCGCGGCGGUUCCCCUGACCUUUUGGUUAGGCUAUUCCGUCGUGUCCAGGCCAACAUCGGUUCUGAGGGUCGGUCAAAGGCCUUGGGAAUGUAUCUACCCACGGGUAGACUUAUAGACCAGGGUGUCAUGCGGCCUCUCGGGACCGAGGAACGCGCUUCGGCUCGGAUGUUGGCGUAAUGGUUGUCAGCGACCCGU
rnacentral:rRNA from 1 species